UUAGGCCUGUGAUGAUAUUAGUUAUCCCUGUCUUAAUUUCUUUGUUCUGUGGGGAAAAAGUUAAUCUGAGGCUGCA